rnacentral:lncRNA from 1 species
UUUUUUUAGCCUUCACUCACGAUUUUUACUUUUCCUCGCGGAUCCUAAACUUCUAUCUGGAAUCUGUUUUUCUGUGGGAUCUCUCUCCCCCCCGAGAAUGGUAAUUUUGGGGAUAUUUAUAGCCAAAAUCCGGACCCCAAAGUCUAGAUUUGAAACACAUUUUUAUGGAGAUGAGAUUUGAAUUCAAAAAAUUAACGUUGAUCUACAAAUGUCAACCUUAUUUCAAGGUUUAGUUGCGAAUUCUAAGAAAUUUACCGUUUGUUGCAUGAAUUAGGG